AACCAUGCAAGUCGAACGCUCACCUUCGGGUGGGAGUGGCAGACGGGUGAGUAACACGUGGGAACGUACCCUUUGGUUCGGGACAACUCUGGGAAACUGGAGCUAAUACCGGAUACGCCCUUUUGGGGAAAGGUUUACUGCCGAAGGAUCGGCCCGCGUCUGAUUAGCUAGUUGGUGGGGUAACGGCCUACCAAGGCGACGAUCAGUAGCUGGUCUGAGAGGAUGAUCAGCCACACUGGGACUGAGACACGGCCCAGACUCCUACGGGAGGCAGCAGUGGGGAAUAUUGGACAAUGGGCGCAAGCCUGAUCCAGCCAUGCCGCGUGAGUGAUGAAGGCCUUAGGGUUGUAAAGCUCUUUUAUCCGGGACGAUAAUGACGGUACCGGAGGAAUAAGCCCCGGCUAACUUCGUGCCAGCAGCCGCGGUAAUACGAAGGGGGCUAGCGUUGCUCGGAAUCACUGGGCGUAAAGGGCGCGUAGGCGGCGUUUUAAGUCGGGGGUGAAAGCCUGUGGCUCAACCACAGAAUGGCCUUCGAUACUGGGACGCUUGAGUCUGGUAGAGGUUGGUGGAACUGCGAGUGUAGAGGUGAAAUUCGUAGAUAUUCGCAAGAACACCGGUGGCGAAGGCGGCCAACUGGACCGGCACUGACGCUGAGGCGCGAAA
rnacentral:rRNA from 1 species